UUGUGCCAGCCGCCGCGUAAUUCCAUGCUCCAAUAGCGUAUAUUAAAGUUGUUGCAGUUAAAAAGCUCGUAGUUGAAACUUGGGUCUGGCUGGCGGGUCCGCCUCACCGCGUGCACUCGUCCGGCCGGGCCUUCCUUCUGAAGAACCUCAUGCCCUUUACUGGGCGUGUUGGGGAAUCAGGACUUUUACUUUGAAAAAAUUAGAGUGUUCAAAGCAGGCCUUUGCUCGAAUACGUUAGCAUGGAAUAAUAAAAUAGGGCGUGCGUUUCUAUUUUGUUGGUUUCUAGAGACGCCGCAAUGAUUAACAAGAACAGUCGGGGGCAUCAGUAUUCAGUUGUCAGAGGUGAAAUUCUUGGAUUUACUGAAGACUAACUACUGCGAAAGCUUUUGCCAAGGAUGUUUUCAUUAAUCAGUGAACGAAAGUUAGGGGAUCGAAGACGAUCAGAUACCGUCGUAGUCUUAACCGUAAACUAUGCCGACUAGGGAUCGGGGCGAUGUUCUUUUUCUUGACUCGCUCGGCACCUUACGAGAAAAUCAAAGUUUUUGGGUUUCUGGGGGGAUUAUGGGUCGCAAGGCUGGAACUUAAAGAAAUUUGACGGAAGGCCACCACCAAGGCGUGGAGCCUGCGGGCUUAAUUUUGACUCAACACGGGGAAACUCACCAGGUUCAGAUGAAAUAAGGAUUGACAGAUUGAGAGCUUCUUUCUUUGAUUUUUCAGGUGGUGGGUGCAUGGGCCGGUUCUUAGUUCGUGGGGUGGACUUUGUCUUGCUUAAUUGCUGAUAACGAAGCGAGGACCUUAACUUCUGCUAAUUAGCAGGCUAGCUUUGGCUUGUCGCCGGCCUCUUUAGAGAGACUAUACACUUCCAGUUGAGUGGAGUUUUGAGGCGAUAACAGCUCUG
rnacentral:rRNA from 1 species